GGUCGGCUUCUAAUCGUCUCGUAAAGAGACAAUCUCUGACAUUUGA
rnacentral:rRNA from 1 species